UAAGGAAUAUUGGUCAAUGGACGCAAGUCUGAACCAGCCAUGCCGCGUGGAGGAUGAAGGUCCUCUGGAUUGUAAACUUCUUUUAUAUGGGACGAAAAAGGGCCUUUCCAGGUCACCUGACGGUACCAUAUGAAUAAGCACCGGCUAACUCCGUGCCAGCAGCCGCGGUAAUACGGAGGGUGCAAGCGUUAUCCGGAUUCACUGGGUUUAAAGGGUGCGUAGGUGGGUUGGUAAGUCAGUGGUGAAAUCUCCGAGCUUAACUUGGAAACUGCCAUUGAUACUAUUAGUCUUGAAUAUUGUGGAGGUCAGCGGAAUAUGUCAUGUAGCGGUGAAAUGCUUAGAUAUGACAUAGAACACCAAUUGCGAAGGCAGCUGGCUACACAUAUAUUGACACUGAGGCACGAAAGCGUGGGGAUCAAACAGGAUUAGAUACCCAAGUAGUCCCUGAGCGGGCUGGCAAGGCGCAU
rnacentral:rRNA from 1 species